AGAGUUUGAUCAUGGCUCAGGAUNNACNNNGGCGGUAUGCUUUACACAUGCAAGUCGAACGGCAGCACAGCAGAGCUUGCUCUGUGGGUGGCGAGUNNCGGACGGGUGAGUAAUACAUCGGGACCUACCCAGACGUGGGGGAUAACCUCGGGAAACCGGGACUAAUACCGCAUACGUCCUACGGGAGAAAGCGGGGGAUCUUCGGACCUCGCGCGGUUGGACGGACCGAUGUGCGAUUAGCUAGUUGGUAGGGUAAAGGCCUACCAAGGCGACGAUCGCUAGCUGGUCUGAGAGGAUGAUCAGCCACACUGGAACUGAGACACGGUCCAGACUCCUACGGGGCGCAGCAG
rnacentral:rRNA from 1 species